rnacentral:rRNA from 1 species
CUAACAAGGAUUCCCCUAGUAACUGCGAGUGAAGCGGGAAAAGCUCAAAUUUAAAAUCUGGCGGUCUUCGGCCGUCCGAGUUGUAGUCUGGAGAAGUGUUUUCCGCGUUGGACCGUGUACAAGUUUCCUGGAACGGAGCGUCAUAGAGGGUGAGAAUCCCGUCUUUGACACGGACCCCAAUGCUUUGUGAUGCGCUCUCAAAGAGUCGAGUUGUUUGGGAAUGCAGCUCAAAAUGGGUGGUGAAUUCCAUCUAAAGCUAAAUAUUGGCGAGAGACCGAUAGCGAACAAGUACCGUGAGGGAAAGAUGAAAAGCACUUUGGAAAGAGAGUUAAACAGUACGUGAAAUUGUUGAAAGGGAAACGCUUGAAGUCAGUCGCGUCGUCCGGGACUCAGCCUUGCUUCCGCUUGGUGUACUUUCCGGUCGACGGGCCAGCAUCAAUUUUGACCGCGAGAUAAAGUCAGAGGAAAUGUGGCUCUUUCGGGAGUGUUAUAGUCCUUUGUCGCAUGUCGCGGUUGGGAUUGAGGAAUUCAGCACGCCUUUAUGCCGGGGUUCGCCCACGUUCGUGCUUAGGAUGCUGGCGUAAUGGCUUUAAACGACCCGUCUUGAAACACGGACCAAGGAGUCUAACAUGCCUGCGAGUGUUCGGGUGGAAAACCCGUGCGCACAAUGAAAGUGAAAGUUGGGAACCCUGUCGUGGGGUGCACCGACGCCCGGACCAGAACUUCUGUGACGGAUCUGCGGUAGAGCAUGUAUGUUGGGACCCGAAAGAUGGUGAACUAUGCCUGAAUAGGGUGAAGCCAGAGGAAACUCUGGUGGAGGCUCGUAGCGAUUCUGACGUGCAAAUCGAUCGUCAAAUUUGGGUAUAGGGGCGAAAGA